AUUGAACGCUGGCGGCAGGCCUAACACAUGCAAGUCGAGCGGAUGAAGGGAGCUUGCUCCUGGAUUCAGCGGCGGACGGGUGAGUAAUGCCUAGGAAUCUGCCUUGUAGCGGGGGAUAACGUCCGGAAACGGGCGCUAAUACCGCAUACGUCCUGAGGGAGAAAGUGGGGGAUCUUCGGACCUCACGCUAUCAGAUGAGCCUAGGUCGGAUUAGCUAGUUGGUGGGGUAAAGGCCUACCAAGGCGACGAUCCGUAACUGGUCUGAGAGGAUGAUCAGUCACACUGGAACUGAGACACGGUCCAGACUCCUACGGGAGGCAGCAGUGGGGAAUAUUGGACAAUGGGCGAAAGCCUGAUCCAGCCAUGCCGCGUGUGUGAAGAAGGUCUUCGGAUUGUAAAGCACUUUAAGUUGGGAGGAAGGGCAGUAAGUUAAUACCUUGCUGUUUUGACGUUACCAACAGAAUAAGCACCGGCUAACUUCGUG
rnacentral:rRNA from 1 species